GUCGCUUCAAAGGACAGUGGUUCGAUACGCCACUGCGAAUGCUGACAUUAAUAAUUGGAUAUUACGACUCGCGCGUGUGUUCAUUAAAUUUUACAACAUUAAUGUAAUGAAAAUCACAAUCGUAUUUCAUAGCAUUUGCUAACUAUUAUGGAAUAUAGAUAAAAAUAACAGAGUGAGUAUUAGAUUCAUUUUAUGCGCCAAUGACUCCGAAUAUGAAAUUGUAUGUUGCUAAUUUUUUGCAUAUUUGAACUAUUUUAGAUUUUUAGUGCUAUUUCUCAAUUGUUGGUGCUAUUUUUUGCUUAUAUGCAUAGUAUAACGAUUUAGUCUGC